rnacentral:rRNA from 1 species
GACGAACGCUGGCGGCGUGCUUAACACAUGCAAGUCGAACGGGCCUGUCUUCUUUUUUGGGGGGUGGGUUGAGUGGCGAACGGGUGAGUAUCACGUGAGUAACCUGCCCUUCGGUCCUGGAUAACCGCUUGAAAGGGCGGCUAAUACGGGGUGGUCCGGUUGGUCCGCAUGGGCUGGUCGGGAUAGAUUCACUGUUUUUGGUGUUUCGGCGGGGGUUGGGCUCGCGGCCUAUCAGCUUGUUGGUGGGGUGAUGGCCUACCAAGGCGGUGACGGGUAGCCGGCCUGAGGGGGUGGGCGGCCACACUGGGACUGAGAUACGGCCCAGACUCCUGCGGGAGGCAGCAGUGGGGGGUAUUGCACAAGGGGCGGAAGCCUGAUGCAGCGACGUCGCGUGAGGGAUGGAGGCCUUCGGGUUGUGAACCUCUGUUUCCGGUGGUGAAGGCCCUGUCCGUGUGGUGGGGUUGACGGUAGCCGGGGAUGAAGCGCCGGCUAACUACGUG